AGUCACGCUAUUGUUCCGAAGGCAGUAUCUUUCAGCUCUCUUUCUGUGUCUCUCUUCCCGUGGCGAAUUCACUGCUCGGUAAACGGUGGCUGUGAAGAAAUUGAAAUUUCAUGUUUAAACGACCAUAAAAUACGUUAAACUGGUGCACAGUAUAUAAAAGUUCAAAUGUGCGGGAAUUAAAAACGUUAACCUCCAAACGAUACGGAAAACUGGCGAAACAACCCGCGUAUCAGUGUAAUGUGAUGGUUCCGAAAGGGCAGGUAGGCUGUUGGCUAGUGGAUUAGGUCACAGGCCGUAAACCAAGGGGGCCAGAUAAAACUGAGAAUUUACGGUGAAAAUAUUUGUGCGCAGCACCUCGCCGAGGGUGGAAUUGACACUUUUGUUGAAAGUUUCAGCCAUAAAUCGGCCGUACAUUGUGAGACUUUCAAGAGGAAACCCGCAACGUUUUGUGACACGCCUUACGGACGCUGUAAAUAAUAAAGCCCCCGUGCCGAGCACGGGCAUCUUCCAUAUACACUGGGCAUCCAGGAGAAGAAGAAAAAAGUAAAAACAGGCCCCCGAUGUACGGGGAAGUUGAAGGAGCUAGCGUGGACGUCGUCGAUGGGUAUGACGACGACGAAGGUGGCAACGAUCCUUCACACUAAAUAACACUAGAUCCAAAGGAAAAAAGGCAUAGUACUUCGUACUGCUGGUUUUCGAAAAGUGACGUACUUUUUUUUUCCUCCGAGGUAGGUCCAACCUGUUGAGUUUAAAUCCCAUAAGCAGCCAUAAAUCUGCCUAUCAGGUUAAUCGCAUUAUUUCUGGCCGGCCAUUGCGUCACCGUGUAACAUACGAAACCGGCCAUCUUGGACAAUGGACCUACGUAAGCCUACCAUGGAAACGUAAAUAGAUCCCGUGUCGUUUCACGAAAACUAGAACCAUUCAGGAAGAAUACAUACCGAGCGCCCUAAAUCAUAAAUCUAUUAGCGGCCAUUAUAUACGGUAGUUCAUCUAAAACGGAAACACGCUACUAUCCUCAAAGUUACGAACAAUACGAGAGAUCCUAGCAGCUCGUAAAUCAUAAACCCGAAAAUUUUCAAAUUCCAUGCCAUUAUCUCCAUUGACAACCCACUAAACAAAUUUCCAUUCACCGAUUGCACAGUCCUCCUGUAAACUCCCGUAAGCCGUCCAGUCGCACAGUUAACGAAUCUGCGAGUCGAGCGGAUGUGUAAGCCGAUUCGAUGAAAUCCGAGUCUGGCGAUGAGUUCGGGGCCACACGACGCGCCCAGUUUGUAAUUGGACGCAUUUCACGGUUCCUCUUACCCCUAGCUGUCGCUCCAUGAAGGUACCAGAGUGGAUACAGGAGUGACUAACAUGGAAUACGUAAUGCAGUGCAAGAUGGUACAUUAACAAUAAGUAAGAGGAGCGAAACGAGUGUAAUAAGGAACACCAAGAGACUAGUUGAAAAAGUAAAGAGAGAGAGAGAGAGAGAGAUGAAGGAUAAGCUAAGAAAGAGAAAGAGAGUUAAAGGAUAAGAAGGAAAGGGAUCGGCAGCAGCAGCAACACCAUCAACAGUACCAGUACCAGCAGCAACAGCAGCAGCCACCCACGGCGACCCGGCAGCCGUCCCGUUUCGUCCCGUCCCAUAGCGACUCGAUCCGUACGGUCCCUCGCGUUGCUACUUACUGAUAUUUAUUGCGCCCAGAAAUGUGUAUGGGACUCAUAAAUCUCCGCAUUCACACGGAGUUUCUAAUUUACAUAUUCCGCUCUUGUACGCCAGUUUACUUUUAUCUCGCUUUGGAGGCCUACGCUCCAACGGGACCGCAAUCAAUCUACCCCUAGGGACGUUUGGUAACUAACCAUUCCUGGCUUCUGGACUGUGCACUUGAUUCGCCGCAAUCGAUCAAAUGACAUUUCGUCAAAGCCAUUGAUUACACAGAUAAAACUGACACGUCAUAUAAAUUCCUCAGCAGUCUUAUGCUACCCUGAAAGUCAAUGUAAAAUCUUGACAAGUUUCUCGAAUAGUUGUGUCAAAUCUUUGUGCGUCUCAAUUCUCUUUUGAUUAAUCAGAAUUCGUUUAAUUGAACGUUACUUGGAAAAAAAACAACAAAAAAAGGAAAUACUGGCUAAUCCUAAUAAGACUAAUUCUACAUGGUAUAACCGGCAUACAUAGACUCGGGUGGAUCUUCGGAGAGGCUCAUAAAAUGGAAAUCAAUUACAUCUACACUUAACCACUUAAACUGGUUUCGCCACGGUCCUAAAGGGCCCCGAACCCCACGAGCAGUCGGUGAGCACCGCUGGAGGCUUCGCAAAGGCUGUGGCAAGCCGCAGAUCAUUCGUAUCAACAUAAUUACAAGCUCGGGAGCCGCCUCUCUGUUUCUCUCACCUUGCUCCACCCAUCACAACACGUCGCACACACGUCGCUCGCGAACGCAUUCGAGCACUGAUGUUGCUUCUACGCUGAUCUCUGUAGCGCAUAUACGUGGCUGUAGCGUAUAGCUACUGAUAGGUAUAAGACGUGCAAUUCGAUGUCUAAAAUUGCAAGAACUCUCGUAUCACAGAAUAUAAAGAUACGUAAAAUUCCAGCUGGUCUUUCUACGACGCGUACUGUACCUAUAUUGUAUAACGACUGUGAUUACUCGGUUUACCUUUGGGCAAGAUAACGCGUACCACCUUCGACGAGAGUACGUGCCUCCUGGGGCACAAGGGGUCGAGGUGUUAGCCAUGGAACGAAACUCUAAAAUGGCUGCAUCUAAAAUAAUUGCGCGCUGACAGGCCGUGAAAUGAAUUUAUUUCAUUUCGGAUAGGUAUAACUGAAUUACACGGUAGUUGGACCUAAGAGUGAUCUUGAAUGCUUGCUCAAAUUGAAUGAGAGGUAACUUACCGUGUUAACAUUGAAAUCAAGAAAAGUCCAUUCUUUCAUAAUUCACAAGACAGCAUGUCGCUACGCUAUAAAUGGGUAGCACCGCACGUAAAAUUAUCUUAUAUGAUUAAAUUUUUUUUAUUAUAAAUUUGUUUAGAUCUCAAAAUCAUCGAAGAAUCCCAUCGAGGUA